CGGGACGCAGCAGUGGGGAAUAUUGGACAAUGGGCGCAAGCCUGAUCCAGCCAUGCCGCGUGAGUGAUGAAGGCCUUAGGGUUGUAAAGCUCUUUUGUACGGGAAGAUAAUGACGGUACCGUAAGAAUAAGCCCCGGCUAACUUCGUGCCAGCAGCCGCGGUAAUACGAAGGGGGCUAGCGUUGCUCGGAAUCACUGGGCGUAAAGGGUGCGUAGGCGGGUUUUUAAGUCAGAGGUGAAAUCCUGGAGCUCAACUCCAGAACUGCCUUUGAUACUGAAAGUCUUGAGUAUGGGAGAGGUGAGUGGAACUGCGAGUGUAGAGGUGAAAUUCGUAGAUAUUCGCAAGAACACCAGUGGCGAAGGCGGCUCACUGGCCCAUUACUGACGCUGAGGCACGAAAGCGUGGGGAGCAAACAGGAUUAGAUACCCGAGU
rnacentral:rRNA from 1 species